CGUCGAUGUGGCCCAGCUUGGUAGGGCACUGCGUUCGGGACGCAGGAGUCGCGCGUUCAAAUCGCGCCAUCCCGACCA
rnacentral:tRNA from 1 species